rnacentral:rRNA from 1 species
AACGAACGCUGGCGGCAUGCCUAACACAUGCAAGUCGAACGAGACCGUCGGGCCUAGUGGCGCACCGGUGCGUAACGCGUGGUAACCUGCCCUUAGGUUCGCAAUAACUCCCCGUAAGGGGUCCUAAUAACGGAGAAUGUCAUCGCACCAAAGAUUUUUCGCCGUUGGGUGGGCGCGCGUUGGAUUAGCUAGUUGGUAGGGUAAAAGCCUAUCAAGGCGACGUUGCAUGGCUGGUCUGAGGGGAUGCUCAGCCACAAUGGGACUGAGACCCGGCCCAGACUCCGACGGGAGGGAGCAGUGGGGAAUAUUGGACAAGGGGCGAAAGCCUGAUCCAGCAACGCCGCGUGAGAGAGGAAGGGCUUAGGGUUGUAAAGCUCUUUUAGCCGGGAUGAGAAUGACAGUAAUGGGAGAAUAAGCACCGGCUAACUCCGUG